ensembl:ncRNA T20B5.5 ncRNA
AUCUCUUCACUCAUCUACACUCCUAUCUCCCCUCCCUGUGAUCAUCAAAUUGGAGAAGUGGAAUCCACUUGAAAUGAGUUCAACAAGAGUUUUUUGUUAGUGCGUGGCGGCUCGCCAGAGCAUUGAGCUCUUGCGGC